UACAGAGGGUGCAAGCGUUGUUCGGAAUUACUGGGCGUAAAGCGCGCGUAGUCGGUAUUGAGAGUCGCGGGUGAAAUCCCAGGGCUUAACCCUGGAACUGCCUGCGAGACCUCAGUACUAGAGUGUGAGAGGGGAUAGUGGAAUACCCAGUGUAGCGGUGAAAUGCGUAGAGAUUGGGUGGAACACCGGUGGCGAAGGCGGCUAUCUGGCUCACAACUGACGAUCAGGCACGAAAGCGUGGGGAGCAAACAGG
rnacentral:rRNA from 1 species